rnacentral:rRNA from 1 species
GACGAACGCUGGCGGCGUGCUUAACACAUGCAAGUCGAACGGUGAAAGCGGAGCUUGCUCCGCUGGAUCAGUGGCGAACGGGUGAGUAACACGUGGGCAACCUGCCCCUCACUUCGGGGUAACUCUGGGAAACCGGGGCUAAUACCGGAUAUGACCUCCUUGGGCAUCCUUGGAGGUGGAAAGUUUUUCGGUGAGGGAUGGGCCCGCGGCCUAUCAGCGCGUUGGUGAGGUAGUGGCUCACCAAGGCGACGACCGGUAGCCGGCCUGAGAGGGCGACCGGCCACACUGGGACUGAGACACGGCCCAGACUCCUACGGGAGGCAGCAGUGGGGAAUAUUGCGCAAUGGGCGAAAGCCUGACGCAGCAACGCCGCGUGCGGGAUGACGGCCUUCGGGUUGUAAACCGCUUUCAGCAGGGAAGAAGCCGCAAGGUGACGGUACCUGCAGAAGAAGCACCGGCUAACUACGUGCCAGCAGCCGCGGUAA